rnacentral:rRNA from 1 species
GACGAACGCUGGCGGCGUGCCUAAUACAUGCAAGUUGAGCGCUGAAGGUUGGUACUUGUACCAACUGGAUGAGCAGCGAACGGGUGAGUAACGCGUGGGGAAUCUGCCUUUGAGCGGGGGACAACAUUUGGAAACGAAUGCUAAUACCGCAUAAAAACUUUAAACACAAGUUUUAAGUUUGAAAGAUGCAAUUGCAUCACUCAAAGAUGAUCCCGCGUUGUAUUAGCUAGUUGGUGAGGUAAAGGCUCACCAAGGCGAUGAUACAUAGCCGACCUGAGAGGGUGAGCGGCCACAUUGGGACUGAGACACAGCCCAAACUCCUACGGGAGGCAGCAGUAGGGAAUCUUCGGCAAUGGACGAAAGUCUGACCGAGCAACGCCGCGUGAGUGAAGAAGGUUUUCGGAUCGUAAAACUCUGUUGGUAGAGAAGAACGUUGGUGAGAGUGGAAAGCUCAUCAAGUGACGGUAACUACCCAGAAAGGGACGGCUAACUACGUG